rnacentral:rRNA from 1 species
AGGAUGAACGCUGGCGGCGUGCCUAACACAUGCAAGUCGAACGUCCUGUCUCGCAAGAGGCAGGGAGUGGCGGACGGGUGAGUACCACGUGGGUCAUCUACCGUGAGGUGAGGAAUACCGGCGAGAAAUCGCCGACAAGACCGCAUAGGCUCGAUGCAAGUCGAGCAAAGCUCUUUCGAGAGAGGGAGCGCCACACGAGGAGCCUGCGCCCGAUUAGCUAGCUGGUGGAGUAACGGUUCACCAGGGCGACGAUCGGUAGCUGGUCUGAGAGGACGAUCAGCCACACUGGGAUUGAGAACGGCCCAGACUCCUACGGGGGGCAGCAGUGAGGAAUUUUCGUCAAUGGGGGCAACCCUGAACGAGCAACGCCGCGUGCAGGAGAAGGUUUUCGGAUCGUAAACUGCUUUUCUCGGGGAAGAGAAUGGACGGUACCCGAGGAAUCGAGCCCCGGCUAACUACGUGCCAGCAGCCGCGGU